rnacentral:rRNA from 1 species
UAGGGUUUUGAUCCUGGCUCAGGACGAACGCUGGGCGGCGUGCUUAACACAUGCAAGUCGAACGAGGUCCACUGAGUAGCAAUACAAGGGAAGACCUAGUGGCGAACGGGUGAGUAUCACGUGAGAAACCAACCCCGGUCUCUGGGAUAACAGUUGGAAACGACUGCUAAUACUGGAUGUCGUCGUACCCUCGCAUGGGGGGAUGACGAAAGGGUUACCGGAUCGGGACGGUCUCGCGGCCUAUCAGCUUGUUGGGGAGGUAACGGCUCACCAAGGCUUCGACGGGUAGCUGGUCUGAGAGGAUGAUCAGCCACACUGGGACUGAGACACGGCCCAGACUCCUACGGGAGGCAGCAGUGGGGAAUCUUGCGCAAUGGGCGAAAGCCUGACGCAGCAACGCCGCGUGCGGGAUGAAGGCCUUCGGGUUGUAAACCGCUUUUAACAGGAACGAAAAUGACGGUACCUGUAGAAUAAGGUGCGGCCAACUACGUGCCAGCCGCCGCGGUAAUUC